rnacentral:lncRNA from 10 species
CCAAAGAGGUGUCUUGAAAACGGAAGUCCUGUUAUGCUGCUCCUCUGCUCAUAGGCUAAUGGCUCUUCAUCUCAUUCAGAGACCAAGUCCCUGCAUGGCCAGCACCUGCAGAAACAGAGCCCCACAGUAAGACCCAGCAGCUCCACAGAAGCUCGCUUACAUGAUAUAGCCUUUGCAUCUAUAUGAUAUAAAAAUCACUUUGUUUCACUGGAUAAUUCACUUCAAAGAGGUUGGAAAUCAACCAUUUUGCUUCCCGAGUUUCACAAACCUGGACCUAAUUUCUGGCAUUAUGUUCACCAUAACACAAUUCUAUUAGAAUAUAGCCAUAUGGUAGUUUCAUGAAAUUUGUCAUAAUUGAAUUUUAUCUGUUAUUAUACUUUGUGCUGUAGUUUAAUGAUUUUUUAUUUUACCUGUACCUAUUGCUACCUUGCGGUUAAGAGUUCCAAACUGACUUUUUAAAAAGAUGAAAUAAAAUAUUAAAAAUAUUUUGAGAAUGGAAAGUUCAAGAUGGACAUGUUUUGCUGUAGGAAUUUUAAUUUUUAAAUUGUGAGAAGAUGUACUUUUAACUUACAGUGACCCAAGUAGCUUAAAAUAGAGAGAGAUACUUUGAACUGAUUCUUUGAAUAUGCUUUCACAUAAAGGGGAGAAGUAACAUUUAUAAUUGAUGAGAAUGCAGCAUUGUGUAAGUACUAAAAAACUUUUGGACCAGAUACAGUGUUUCCCAAAUGUAAUGUUCAUUGUUAAAAUGAAGAUUCAAGGUCAUGCCUUAGAAAUUCUUAUUUAGAGUUGGAGUGGGGCUCAAAAAUAUGUUUAUUUAAAAGUAUUCCCUGGACCUUAGCUGGGCAUGCUCACAACGGUAAUCCCAGCACUUAGGGAGGCAGAGGCAAGAGGAUUACUGGAGCCCAGGAGUUCAAGACCAGCCUGGGCAACAUAGCAAGAACUUGCUCUAUUAAGAAAAAUUUUUUAAAAAUUAAAUAAAUAAAUACAGUAGAAGUAAUCCCUGGACCUCAUUUUUAGGAACUCUGGAAUAAGCUUAAAGACAAGAAAAUGGGGUCUUGUCUUGAUAAGGAACUACAGUGCUAUGUGACCUUGGACAUGUCAUGUUCUGUCUCUUUUCAGUUUUUUCAUCUAUGAUAUUUGCAA